CUCAGCUGGUCAGGCUGCAUCUAUGGAGGGAAAUGAGCAGUCGACGUUUCAUCUGGACUGGGAUCCAUCUGCGAAUGUAAAGACAGUUGUGUUAACCUGUUGAAUCAGCAUUCUGUAUGCGAUAUUUUCAUCGAGCAGUGGUUUUUGCUCCUCCUCUGGGCCCUUAUGGUUAGAAGUUCAUCCAAUAUCUUGACAGAUGAAAGGAUGAUGUAACACCAGUCAUUGGUCAGUGUUGCUUGCGGUGAAGAACCCAAUGUGCGACCAGCAAACUCACCCAUAGCAG